UACGUAGGGUGCAAGCGUUAUCCGGAUUCACUGGGUUUAAAGGGUGCGUAGGCGGACAGGUAAGUCAGUGGUGAAAUCUCUGGGCUUAACUCAGAAACUGCCGUUGAUACUAUUUGUCUUGAAUGUCAUGGAGGUAAGCGGAAUAUGUCAUGUAGCGGUGAAAUGCUUAGAUAUGACAUAGAACACCGAUAGCGAAGGCAGCUUACUACAUGAAGAUUGACGCUGAGGCACGAAAGCGUGGGGAGCAAACAGG
rnacentral:rRNA from 1 species